CAGCCGCCACGGUAAUACGAAGGGUGCAAGCGUUAAUCGGAAUUACUGGGCGUAAAGCGUGCGUAGGCGGUGAGUUAAGUCUGCUGUGAAAUCCCCGGGCUCAACCUGGGAAUGGCAGUGGAUACUGGCUCGCUAGAGUGUGUCAGAGGAUGGUGGAAUUCCCGGUAUAGCGGUGAAAUACGUAGAUAUUGGGAAGAACACCGGUGGCGAAGGCGGCAACCUGGCUCAUUACUGACGCUGAGGCGCGAAAGCGUGGGGAGCAAACAGGAUUAGAUACCCCCGUAGUCCCUGUCUCUUAUAC
rnacentral:rRNA from 1 species